GCAAGUUACCUCAGGUUGGGUAGUGGAGGUUAGAGCCAGCACUGGGCUGGCCCCAGCAGCCUUACCUGGGGAGCAGGGGAAGCUGCAGCUG